AACGAACGCUGGCGGCAGGCCUAACACAUGCAAGUCGAGCGAGGACUUCGGUUCUAGCGGCGGACGGGUGAGUAACGCGUGGGAAUAUGCCCUUCUCUACGGAAUAGCCUCGGGAAACUGAGCGUAAUACCGUAUACGCCCUUUGGGGGAAAGAUUUAUCGGAGAAGGAUUAGCCCGCGUUGGAUUAGGUAGUUGGUGGGGUAAUGGCCUACCAAGCCUACGAUCGAUAGCAGGUAUGAGAGGAUGAUCAGCCACACUGGGGUUGGGACACGGGCCGGACUCCUACGGGAGGCGGCAGUGGGGAAUCUUAGACAAUGGGGGCAACCCUGAUCUAGCCAUGCCGCGUGAGUGAUGAAGGCCUCAGGGUUGUAAAGCUCUUUCAGCUGGGAAGAUAAUGACGGUACCAGCAGAAGAAGCCCCGGCUAACUCCGUGCCAGCCGCCGCCGUAAUAC
rnacentral:rRNA from 1 species